rnacentral:rRNA from 1 species
UACAGAGGGGGCAAGCGUUAUUCGGAAUUAUUGGGCGUAAAGAGCUCGUAGGCGGUGUGUCGCGUCGGCCGUGAAAGCCUGCAGCUUAACUGUGGGCUUGCGGUCGAUACGGGCAUCACUGGAGUUCGGCAGGGGAGACUGGAAUUCCUGGUGUAGCGGUGAAAUGCGCAGAUAUCAGGAGGAACACCGGUGGCGAAGGCGGGUCUCUGGGCCGAUACUGACGCUGAGGAGCGAAAGCGUGGGGAGCGAACAGG